rnacentral:lncRNA from 1 species
CAGGGCUUCAAGGGACAGUCUUCUCUGCAGACACCAGCCUGGUGUCCUCCUUCAUCCCAGGCUGCCAGGCUAGGCAGGGGACAGCGGCUGCCCUGGUCCUCACAGCCCUGGCUACGGGGCUGGUGACAGCCAGAUCCUCAUGCUUCUGCGACCUGAGCGCUGCCUUCAGACACCUCUCUGCUGGCGUGUUCCUGGGUCCAUGAUGGAAGAAGGAAAAGUAUUUUUAAAAGACAAUCUGAAGCUCAUACUGUGACUGCAACAUAAAAUGUGUUCACCUGAGGAGACUGCUUUCAUCGCCAGUGUGUCACAGAUGGUGGAAACCUCAGAAGGCCACAGUCCAGAGUAGGGGCUUAAUGCAAGCUGCUGGAACUGAAUAAAGAAGGUCUCUGAUGGUUCUGGUUUCCUGGGCACCUAGAAUAAGUGUGUCACCAUUUGUCCUGAAGCUGACUUCUCUGAGCUGGAUGGCACCCUGGACAUCAACCAGCCCUUCACCUUCACGUCACACAGGAGGGACACUGGUCCAUAGAGAGGAUGCCUGCUCUGGUCACCAGCUGGAGAGUGGCAGACCUUGGGUACCUGACCUUUGGACUCUGCCACACAGAGCACUUCCUCAGUCCCUCCUGCUGCCCCUGGCAGGGUGGAGCUGGCAGGGCAGCUGAUCCAGGACCGUCCACUUCCAAGCCAGCAGGAGGAUGGAAAAGCAGAAUGGAGGGGAAACAACCUCCUUUGCAGGGCGUGACUCGGAAGUUGGACACAUCAUUUCCAGCCACAUUCCAUGGACCAGAAUUAGCCCUGUGACCAACUCUGGCUGCCAGAAAAUCUGGGAAAUACAGUCUCUGCUUGGGCGAUCAGGCAGGCAGUUAUAUCUUUGGGAACAUCUCUCACCCCCUGGGAACACCUGAGCAGAAACUGAAGGACAUUUAACAGAUUCUCCUUUGUGUCUAAUAAGAAUUGCCCCCAUCAGUCGGGGCUGUCCUAGGUGCUGGGUACAUAGGUCAUCUAUACACAACCCAGCAAUGGAGAGCACACCAUUCCCAGGCUGCAGAUGCAGAAACUGUGGCUCGGAGAGUUAAGCGUCUUGUUCAGAUUCAGUCAGCUGGUAGAUGGCAGGUCUGGGAUUGAGACCCAGGCCUGGCUGGUCCUGCCAGGACACAGUAUCACAGCUUUGACUGGGAGCUUCUUUUUGUUUACAUAUAUUUUUUAUGCUCAAUGUGCAUUCCUUUUGAAAUACACAGAAAAGGGAAAGAAGCCGGAGUCCUGCCUUGUGUAGGAGGGAUAAGUUAGAGGUGUGCACCGGGAUAAAUCUGCCUCCCGCGCUGGCCCUGGCCCUGGCCCUGGCCCUGGCCCUGGCCCUGAUCCUGCUCCUGAUUCUGGUCCUUGGGGCCUGGGCGGCGAUUCCCGGCGCUGGCUGAGCGUCACCGGCCACCAGAGGGCGCUGCCGGGCUACCGGUCCGGUCGCCCGGGGAUCACAGCCUCAGCGGACAGGAAAUGAUCAACAGCUUCUCCUCUCGGAUCCACGUGGACUCAAGGAAUCUCCGGGGGGCAGGACAGGUGCAGAGCCGAGUGCAAAGGUGGAAUUCUAUUCCCAAAGCACAUCCCGCGCCCCUUUCCUCUGCAAAGUCCCGGAACCGCGUGACUCCGGAUGAGUUAUCGGGGCUGGAACCGAGGGUUCAGCCCCCUGCGCCUCUGUGUGUCCCGGUCCCUUUCCUCCAAGUAGACAGGAGGCAUCUCCUCAUCGGCUCAGUUCACAUUCCUCCAGGGGCUCAAAGGGGACCCAGUCCCUGUCUUGGGACACCAAGUCAGGCAGACUCCAGGAGAGAGGAAGGAAGAUGAUUCCCGCGCUCAGGUGGGCGGGUCCUGCUCCCUCUGUUGAAGACCUGAAGACAAAGAUUGACCCUCACCCUUCACCUCCCACCUCUUCCUCACCUUGGAAAAGAAAAACAUUCCUGAGAGGGGGGAUUUGUCAGCAGAAGGCUUUGGGACUAGAACUGCAGCAUCAGCUCUUCCUGGUUCCCCAGCGCCCAGGCCUACC